AGUAGCAAAUACCACAUUCAGUUGGUGGUUAGCAGAUUCCACAGCAGUUGUAGAAGCCGUUUAAAGAAUUUGGAGAGGGUAGGAGCUUGAAGAAUAUUUUACAAGUUAGAUUUCGAUGUUACGCAUUUUGCCUCGUGCAUGAAUGCCUACGUGUUAAGGAUUGUCUUUGGCGAGCCAGUGAUUUAACAGAUGUCACCAUGCUCGUCCCAGGCAUGGCGUUCAUCUUUGCAAGCCUCUUCUCGAGUUGCCGCUGCUCCACGGAACCCAUCUCAAUGGCUCGCAGGUCAUCAAGUCUCUCGUCAUUGCUUUCGUCGGCGUCGUGGCGUUCAGGCUCCAGCUCAGCCAAGAGUUUGAGCAUCCUCCUCACGUAAAACACUUGCUUGCACCUGUAAAACGUCAUCCAGGCGAUGACAGGAACAAGCACGGCGGUGGAACACCACACAAGCAAGAGGCUGUCCGAUCUGUAACUUGAUUCCCCCUUGACCACUACCAAAACUUGGAGGCCACGGUUCGUGAUUGGAACCUGGUCUGCAAGCAAUCCCCAGGUCCUCAGUUUCUCCUGCCUCUGGAUCUCGGCUGGAGUCACGGUGAUGAUCGCCGAGUACGAGCCGAGAGCGAGCACGGAGUUACUGACACACAGAAGUGCCGUUUUCCAGCCCUGUGAUCUCACCAAGUUUCGGAAGAACGUGAGCUGGAAGUUGAUGAAAGGCUGCGUGUCUCAAGUCAAGAAUUCUUACAUCCAAGCACAGAGCUCGGCGCUAGAUCUCGAGCAUCCCGGCACCGAUGUCUGGGUGGCCGCGGUCGCGCUCCCCGGCGCAUUCAUCGCGGUCGUAGCUGCGGUGAAAGAGCCCAGGAUUUCUACCAGUGUCGUCGUGGUUCGCAAGUCGAAGGACAACGAGGAAUCCAAAGAUGAUCCGGUGGUGUUGUCAUCGAUCCCCAGCAAACACAAGCGCCUGUUUGGUCGAGUGAUGUUUGUCACCCUCUCGUUGAGCCUGAAUCCCGCGGCUUCCGGGGCUGUUUUCACGUCGAAGCUCUGCAGAUCAGGAUCUCUCAAUAAUUCCUGGUUGCUCCUGUCAUGCGCUGGAGGAAGUCCAAGCCUUUGCAGAGAUCGAGCUUGGCGUCGAGGCUUCUCAGAUUCAUUCCACUCAAACUCUCCUUGCUCAUGCUCCAAUUCUCGAGGGUUAGCACUUUGGACGCGACCGAGUUCGCCAGGAUCCCGCCGUCCUGCUCUUCCCACAAGCUGAAAAACCCAAGCUUGCUUGGGGAAGAACCAGGGAUCGCUUGGAGCACCACGGGUGUGAACUUGACGCAGCUUGGAGCCUCAUCCAGGCAGAGGAAUCCCAAAGCCCACAUCGUGAUCUCCAUGCUUCCCAGCUUAUUGAUCUUGGAGACCGAGUGGAAUUCCAUGAGGGAAGCGUUCCUGGUGGACAGGAGUCCCCCUUUCUCGCGGAUCUCUGCUGUGAGACUGCUCUGGCCAGUGACAAACUGAUUCUUUUCUUCGGGGAAGUGGAUCAAUCACUGGAGCUCUUUUACGCCAUGAUCUCGGCUCGCCACCUUUGUGAGCAUUCUCUUGUGCCGCAAAUUUCUUAUUCCAGUUGGCACCUUCUCAAGAACCCUUGCAUGAUGUUAACUAGAUCCACGAGCAGCACAUCACCCUCCUCGCAUGGGUCCUGGAAACUGAAGCCCUGCCUACUGCACAAAACAUACACCUUCUUCCUUCCUUCUACGUACUUGGCAGGUGAAUUUGCAGCUCUAGCCCACUUGGCCACUUCGUCCCCACUCACGCGGCCUUCCUGUCCCUUGAGCUGGAACCAGAACUCGUACACCUUCCCGUCCACACCAAUCAAGAACACUCUCCCAUCCGUGAAUGCUGUCCCCUUUUUGCACUUGAACACGAAACCAGCGCCUGUGGGUUGUGCCUCAGUUGGGUGCACAUAGGGUCUACUGUCCGCCCCAGCCAUUUGUUUAUCACCUGGGCUAUAAAACCUUUCCAUCUGCGGAUUAUAAAACUGAUACUUCUCUUCAACCACUCCGUCACCCAGAGCCGCAACCACAACUCUGGUGUCAACCAGCCUCUGCUUCCCAACAGCCCCCGGAAAGAUCUCACCAAGAGAAAGCGUUCGGCCUUCCAACACCCAGAGCCUGGCAUGCAGCAUGUCGAAAAAGCCAUCCUUCAGCACGUCGCCUACUGCUGGCUGGGGCCUGAGAGCUACUACCCUCUCUGGGAUCCCCAACCUCAGUCCAAGCGCAUGAACAAGUAACAUCGGGCUCUUAUAGACAACUCCACCACCUUCCACCUCUUCAGAAUACACAUAACCUCUGAAACAUGCUUCUUCCUCCCUCGUCAUCUGCCCAACAGGUGGCCUUGGCAUCACCACCCCAGUGAGGCAAAGCUGAAUCAUUCGUUUCACAUUGUCGAGGUUCCCUUGCAUGACUCGAUCAACAUAUGGCUUCAGCUGCAAAGUAACGAAAGUUCAUAAGUGCACAAUGAAAUCCCUUGCUGGAAGUUCCAGACCCUGCACCUGUAACCAUGCAGUGUAAAUGUACUGAAUCAGCCUCGGGACACAGCCGCAGUCUUCUAGGAGUAUUUCCAGCUGCGUCCGAAAUUCGUGAAAGCAAUUAUCCUUGAUAGACAUACUUAGUACCUCCACCGCUGAUUUCAAAUCCAAGGGGGGUAAUGUGACGUUCACCUUGAGCCAGUCUGUUAACCCGUACUUCCCGCCUACACGAAGAACUGUUCCUGCUAGAAGAGUUAUAAAGGCAAUGUUGCAGUCCUUGGCGAUGGAGUUUCCCACUAAGGAAGUCAUGACUGUCACUAACCAGGAAAGCAUGCCGUUCAGGAAGGCUUCACCAUCACAGCCAGCUCCACCCACUUCCCUUCCCAGUUGCUGCAACUCAUCCACCAAAAGGUACAAGGCAACCAUCUGAUUCUCCGCUACCGCCAGAACUUUCCUCACAUGAGCUGAAACCUUCUGCACAGACACGCAGUCAUCUCCCGCAAGGAUCUCAUUCUGUAGCGCAGACGGUAAGUCACUCCAAGGCUUGCCAAACAGUAUCUGCGAAACUACAGACACCCGCAGAAAAACCCGGCCAGAACGGUAAUCACCUCUCUCCUUACAGAUUGCCACAAAAGCCGGAUGCAGAAGAUGAGGUGAUGAAUGGCCAACAGCCGAGCUACUGAAGGUGAUGUACACCGCUGCCGUAGCUCCAACACGAUGAAGCUCCUGCAAUGCUGAUGCCCUGCCUUUAAGCGCCUCUCCAACACGCUCCUUGGUCUCUAAAAGGAAUCGAGUCUUCCCCACUCCGGCAAGGCCCUCCAGAGUGAUCAAGAGCGCCUGCUCUCCGCUAAUCCCGCUAGAUGCGAAAGUUGUGAAGUUCUCGUCAAUCAUCUCUGCGAGCUUCUGCACGAGGCCGUCUCGACCUCUGAACAGAAGCGUGAAGUUGCAAACCACAUCCGAGAAGCACCAAAUUCGGUAGCCCCUCCUGAGGCACUUGGGGCACUGUAUCAUAAGAUAGUCAGCAAAGAAGGUAAACAGACUAGCAUAAACCAACCCUUACCUACAGUUAGGCGAGCUUCAUGCAAAUGGAAAGUGAAUUCACGAGGAAGCGGAUCAUUGUGCCCUUGCAAGUGUAUAAUCUCCAUCCAGCCACAGAGGCCAAAAAUGGCAUGCACCAAAGGGAGAUUUUUUUGGAGCUAUGUUGCAAACGCUCCAACAUCAACUAAAUCCCCUAGCACGGGCCUAAACGCUCUUCCCCUUUUGAUUAACGUUGCCUCCUCCAAUCCCACUUCAUAUGGCAGAUGGAUAUGCAUAUAGCGCGGCGGCAAGCGGAAAGGGAAAACCAUCACAAUUACAUUACCCUAAUGAGAAAUCAAUGUUUUAGGGAAGAUAAUCAGAUCUGAAGAGAAUUUUGAAGUCAUAAAAAUACAGCCAUGGCACAGUGGCACAAUCUGAGAAAUUAUAAUUAGUACUGCCCAGCAAAUGUAGUGGCCUUGGAUGAAAAUGCAUUCGUUUUUCUGAAGUCAAAAGUUCUAGUUCAACAGUCGUACCAACAUUCAGCAAGCAAGCAGUUGAAGAAUAUUUUACAAGUUAGAUUUCCAUGUUACGCAUUUUGCCUCGUACAUGAAUGCCUACGUGUCAAGGAUUGUCUUUGGCGAGCCAGUGAUUUAACAGAUAUCACCAUGCUCGUCCCAUGCAUGGCGUUCAUCUUUGCAAGCCUCUUCUCGAGUUGCUGCUGCUCCACGGAACCCAUCUCAAUGGCUCGCAGGUCAUCAAGUCUCUCGUCAUUGCUUUCGUCGGCGUCGUAGCGUUCAGGUUCCAGCUCAGCCAAGAGUUUGAGCAUCCUCCUCACGUAAAACACUUGCUUGCACCUGUAAAACGUCAUCCAGGCGAUGACAGGAACAAGCACGGCGGUGGAACACCACAAAGCAAGAGGCUGUCCGAUCUGUAACUUGAUUCCCCCUUGACCACUACCAAAACUUGGAGGCCACGGUUCGUGAUUGGAACCUGGUCUGCAAGCAAUCCCCAGGUCCUCAGUCUCUCCUGCCUCUGGAUCUCGGAUGGGGUCACGGUGAUGAUCGCCGAGUACGAGCCGAGAGCGAGCACGGAGUUACUGACACACAGAACGGCCGUUUUCCAGCCCUGUGAUCUCACCAAGUUUCGGAAGAACGUGAGCUGGAAGUUGAUGAAAGGCUGCGCCGCAGCUACGACCGCGAUGAAUGCGCCGGGGAGCGCGACCGCGGCCACCCAGAAAUCGGUGCCGGGAUGCUCGAGAUCUAGCGCCGAGCUCUGUGCUUGGAUGUAAGAAUUCUUGACUUG
rnacentral:lncRNA from 1 species